rnacentral:rRNA from 1 species
GAUGAACGCUGGCGGCGUGCCUAAUACAUGCAAGUCGAGCGAACGGACGAGAAGCUUGCUUCUCUGAUGUUAGCGGCGGACGGGUGAGUAACACGUGGAUAACCUACCUAUAAGACUGGGAUAACUUCGGGAAACCGGAGCUAAUACCGGAUGAUAUUUUGAACCGCAUGGUUCAAAAGUGAAAGACGGUCUUGCUGUCACUUAUAGAUGGAUCCGCGCUGCAUUAGCUAGUUGGUAAGGUAACGGCUUACCAAGGCAACGAUGCAUAGCCGACCUGAGAGGGUGAUCGGCCACACUGGAACUGAGACACGGUCCAGACUCCUACGGGAUGCAGCAGUAGGGAAUCUUCCGCAAUGGGCGAAAGCCUGACGGAGCAACGCCGCGUGAGUGAUGAAGGUCUUCGGAUCGUAAAACUCUGUCAUUAGGGAAGAACAUAUGUGUAAGUAACUGUGCACAUCUUGACGGUACCUAAUCAGAAAGCCACGGCUAACUACGUG